UCUACUUUUGUUCUCUCUCUCUCUCUUUCAUUCUAUCUCUCUUAUCUCUUCUCGAUGUUCAUCGGAUUCUCAUCAAUCGAAGCAAAAACUGUUGAAUCAAGAAUCAAACCAAACAGUCAUUCUUUUUACGUUCAAUUGGUGGAAUCAAUCAAGUUGAUUUAAGUAGAUCUGCGCUUCAAGUUUCGUCUUAUGCUUUAAAAAGUCAAAAACAUGUCAUUCAAAGAAGACAUCAAACUGGAGCUCAAGAUCUACAAGGAAUGUUGAAUGGUACGGUUUUAACAGAAGCGAAGUCGGGAGUCAUAAAUGAGGAAGCUGGGAGUCAUAACUGAUGAAGUUUCAAAAUUUUAAAAAAUGAAAGAGACAGAGUACUCGUUGGGGAGUAACAGAGGGACAUGAGACAGAAGCGACAAAACUUAUAGAUCAAGAGUUUCAUGUUUCAACAUAGUGAUGAGGAAAGGGAAGACACGAUAAUCAGUUAGUUCUCAGUGCUCUGGAAUUCAACUGCAUACGAAGACAGCAAAAAGGACUGGAAAACAGAGUACUCUCUGCGGAGUAAGAGAGGGACAUGAGACAGAAGCUGAAAAGAAGAAUACAACCUUCACAUGACAGCAGACUUGUAAAUGGUUAGUAAUCACUUAUAUCUUUUUUGUUUUUUUUGAAUUGAAUAAUCACUUAUAUCUCUUAAUAAUUUGAUAGGUGUUUUGAAUUUAAGAUACUCGGUUAGUAGUUUAUUUCUUGAGAAACACUGCCUUAAGUUAAAGUUUGAUACCAAUUGUACUUGCAUUAGUUAAACUAUGAUAAUAGUUUGAUGUUACUUGCAUUUGAUGUUACUGAUAGUCUUAGAUAUAAAUAGUUUCUGUUAUAAACUUUAGUAGAAUUGGUAGGUUUGUCGAAAGAUAAAGAAUAACAAUCUUAAAGGAUAAAAUUUUAGUCUAGAUCCAACAAAUGUUGAUCAUUGGAGAACUAUUUUUAAAUAUUUUAUACAAUCAUACUGUCAUUCUCUAAUUAUUUUUUAUAUAUUACAUGAUCUUGGAUGUUCUCCAAUGAUUGAGGGAAUUCAACUACAUAAGAAGACAGCAAAAGGGACUGGGUUAAAGUUGACUGUCUGCGGAGUAACAGAAGGACAUGAGAAAGAAGCUGCAUAAGAAGAAUAAGACCUUCACGUGACACCAGACUUAAAAAAUGGAAAGUCGCGCUGCAAUUCUCUGAUCGGUGUUGUGGAGAUGGUGGGAGUGCCAACGCUUAUUCCCUCGUCAACUUUUUUCCGUUUAGACAUCUUAGACAAUGAUGCAGAAGAAAACGUUGAGCAAUAAGCAGAAGAAGGAGAUAUGUGGCGAAAAUAAAUUACUUCUCUCAUCAAACACAAAAAUUAUUAUAAUCAAAGAGAUGGAUGAGAAGGUUGUCUUAAGGACCAGUCUACGACAAACACCUGCAAUAUAUUCGGCUACUUUUAAUCAACACGGUUGGACUCUGGUGGUGUGUCACUCUGAGGGGUUUUGUGAAGCUUGCUAACAUCGUACCCUUCCUCCACUGCCUUCUCCACCAGCGCCUUGUAUGUCUCUUCCUCUACAUGCGCUGUCCUGCUCAGUAUCUAGAC